CCCGGGCUGGGUACUGCAGGAGGCACGGUGCGGGGGGACAGCAGGCCUCGCUCCACUUUGGGGGUGCCGGUGUUGUCAUUAAACAGAGUCUGCACGGCAGAGGCGGGGGCUGCCGGCGCCCCGGGGAGGCCGACACGGCAGGGAACGGGGGUCAGCCUGCAGCGAGCGGGCGGCCCCCCAAUUCCGCGCGGCCCAAGCAUCCAUUUUUCCGGGGCUGCGGGUCCUAUAAAUGGUGCCUUUGAGGAGAGCUGCCCUGGUGACAGCAGGUCCCUCCCUGCAGCACCCACUCGGCCACGGGAUUCUGAAAGCUGAUUGUCCCUCCUCAAGCCCUGCCCUCCUGCGACAUUGCUCACGCUGACCAUUGUCCGCAGAAAGAGGCCAUUGUCUGGGGCUUACAUACCUGCUGACGGAGGCACAUGAAACCAGCAGAGCUUUGGGGAGACAGAAAUCCACCCAAAACAACAAAAAAAAACCUGAGCCUAGCCGGAGGGCAGAGUUUAGACGGGGCUUGUUGAAUUUCCUGAUCUGCUGGUGUUCUUUCCAAGAGGAAAUGCCCCCCAUUAUGGGAGGAUCAGAGUUUUAUCUCUGGGCUGGAAUGACACCAUUUGUGCCUUUGUGUCAACAGCACAGAGGGGCAUUGUUUAGGGUUAUGUGGCCGGCGCUGGGAAGGGCUUGUUUGAAGAGAAAAAAAGAGAAAACCCAGAACAAUGUUUACCCAGCAGGCAGCUCCUGCCAAAGCAGCCGCCACCCCGUGCACUGGGAUGUCAGCUGGCCCGCCCGGGCCCCCUCGGCUGUGCCUCGGCCUCGAGUGCAGCCGCGCGGGCAGCUGGCGGGGACAGGUACGCCGUGCCGGCGCCUAAAGCACCAAUACCCAGCACCGCCCCCGAUCCAGAGCCGAAGGGCUAUUGAGCACCUGGCUGGGCCACUCAGGUUUGAGUAGAGGGAGCCUGGACACCGCCUCUCAGUGGAGGAAUGUGACCAUCCCACGGCAGGGAGAGCAUCCGGGAAGGAGACGCGCUGAUGUGGCCAUCGUUGGGGAAUAGAACUUCUCACAAUUAAAUCUCAGUACGGACUGUGAAGAUGGUCAAUGAAGCUACAAUUAUUUCAGCUGGGAGUCCUUUAUUGUUGCACUAAAGUAAAAAAAAAAAAAAAAAAAAAAAAAAAGUCUUGGCUACAUGGUGCACAACCGUCUGACCCCGUAUAGCGCUUCUCGGGUUUCAAAAGCCACUUUGUUCGCCGCUCACAAUUUCCCGGUGGGGAUCAUCACCCCCGUUUUACAGCCAUGGAAACUGAAGUCUAGAAGGGAAUAAAGAAUUUCUGCAGUGUCAGCACCUCGUGGACUGGGGAACAGAUCUAAAUAUUCUGCUUCAAUCCCAGAGGGCUGUCUUCUCCUCCACGUCGCCACUUACCGUGAUUACAACCCCCCAGGGGUCACAUUCCACACCCAGAAAAUUGUAACACUGACCCAAAAGAACCAGUUUUUUUUUUUUUUGUCAGCUCUCAAAUUUUUUUUGUGGGACCCUUUAAAAAGCUCACAAGCUGGAUCCUGGAGCUAUGGAGCCUGGCCGAUAAGAUGAUUCUGAUUGCACAGAGCCUAGUGCUUUCUCAAUGAAAAGGGUCCCCCAAGUCCCUAUGGUUGUGUCGUCAGAGCUGAAGCCAUGAAGAGAAGCCAUUCCUCAUUACGAAGUGUUUUUUUGGGCCAAGGGUACACACUUGUCCUGCUCUAAAUGCUGUUGCUGGCAGGGACCUUUGCCACUCAGUCAACGGACAGAGUCCAGGAGGAUGACCGAAUAAUCCGGGAGGCUCUGAAUUCGCCAUCGUUAAUUCAGAUGGUCCAAUUCUGGUCAUCAGUUCAGGUCGGUCUGAAAUACCAGUGGGCCAGAGAGUGUGAUGUGGGAAAAACUCUUACGGAGAAGAAAAUGGGCCAGGGAAAUGGACUUGCUUAAGCCCAGUCGUGGAAGGAGUUUGGGGGUAGAGAAGGCCACUCACGUCAUUAAAAAGCCCAUGGCGUGGCAGAGGCUCUGAUGAAUUUCAUCUGGCCAGUCCAACAUCUUUUCAAGGGGAGCUUGAACUCCUUUUCAUAGAUUGGACCCCUUGGGCUGAAAUAGGCCAAUAUUUGCCCAAAGUGACCCGGUGACAGGAACCCAGUGCUGCCUAAUUCCAAGGCUCUGCUAUGUCUUCCUGCCGUUGCGAUGGAGAGACAUGCUUACGAUUUUUUGGAGGAAAUUAGCAGCAUGUUUUGAGGUUUGUGCUUGGAAUACCAGCAGGCUUAAGGAGAUUGCAGGAGCAAUGUCUUUUAGGAUUUUCCAUUUGCAGAAGCCACAAUCCUAUAACAAACAGUCGGUAUGAAAAAACUGGAGAGAAGUAAAUUAAGGGCUUACAAGAAGCAAUCAAGCCUUUGUCUAGAGUAGUGGAGCCAAGAACCCAGUUGGCUAACAAAUCCUCGUGGAGCACCUACCUACUCCGUGCAGGGGUCCCUGAGGGAUGAUAACCUCUCAGGUUUGGGUCCUCCGGUGCAGACAGGCACGGAAGUGGAUAGAAGGAGCUCUGGCCUACGAGUCAGAAGAUCAGAAUUUGCAAACUUCUCUUCCUCUCCCUGGCUGCGUGGCCUCGGACAAAUGAAUGCACCUCUCUGAGCCUCGGUUACCAUUUUGUAAGAUGGAGAUGCUAAUUCUUGCUCAAGCCACCUUCGGGCUCGACAUUCCUGUGGAUCCCCGUGGAACUAUGGCGUGUGGUAAACUACUAUCCUCUUUAUGGCUGUCCCUUUGGCAGACCCAGUCUGCGGGGGAAGAGGUAUGUCGUUUCUUUGUCCUCGGCACAGGGUCUGGCACAUGGUGGCCAGGUACUGGGUGGGCCCGGGAGGAAUAAAGCUGUAAAUCUCUUACAUCUUAGCUAAAAUAACCUCUCCUCGUGCACAUGGACCUUAACUGGAAUCUUUCUGCCCUGUUGAUACUUUAAAUAAUAAAGACCACUUCUUGUCAAGGAUCCAAACUCUUCUUGCGCUGACCAGGAGUCUAUCAAUCCACAAGAUGCUUCAUUGAAAUCAACCUGUUUUGCAAAACAGCUUUAUGGUCUUUUUCUGAUGAAGCCAGAUGAAUCCUGCAGCCAUCAACCCGGGGAGGGCGUUUCUCCUUUCCUGCAGCUCAGUGUUCACAAAUAAUCUUCUCUUUUGAUCCAUACCACCGAUUAGGCAAGGGUCCUUUGUAACUCCCGGAAUCGCAGCAUCCGGGACUGUCAGCUCCAAAAGGGCCCUCGAGAGUUACAUAUUCCUACUGCCCUAGUGUAGGGGAGAAGGUCUGCUGCAGAGUGUGAAGGAACUUGUUCAAGGUCAUAGAGCAGAGCCAGUCUUGCAAGGAGUUGUGUCCCUUUUCCUUAACUCAAUGGAAAUGGCUACUGUCCAGGACGUCUCUGGAUAAAGCCAGCGGUCCUCUCUGGAUACGCCGUGUCACCGAGUUGAGCCACGAAGCAGUCUCAUCAUCUGAUGGGUUCCCAGCUCUGUCAAGACUUUUGCCAAGCGCUCUCCGAUGCGGCACUCCGCGCAGACCCUGCAGAGAGGGACACACGCUGUGGACGUUCUCAUGGCCCAGCUCACGGUCGGAACAUCCGAGGGCUGGAGUGGCCCUGGGGUGCUCUGCAGCGUGGGUGGAGGGGACUCUCGUUCUCCCCGGCCAUAAACUCACAGGGCCGUGGGAGAGGUGGGAGAGGACUGGUGUCCUGGAAGGCGGGCCUGAGAACAGUGGGGGGUUGGUGGCCACAAGAGCCGUCCCGAAUGGCCUGUGCAGUACCUUGAUCUGGAACAUGCCGGGGGGUUGUUGGCUGCAGUCACAGAUUAGUCAGAUUCCCAGCUGGCGUCUCCGAGCAGGGAGCUGCGGUGAAAAGGCCUGAGUGACUUCCUUCCUCCUUCACUAAAGCAGGCCUGGAGAGUGAGGCCCUCGCACUGUAAUUACAUGUAGGCAGGAAACAAAGCUAAGACCUGUCUCCAAGUGAGGAAGGAAGGAAGACAUCCAGGGCUCUGGGGAUUCUUUAUCUUCUGUUCUUGAGGCGCUGGGAAAAUAAGAACUGCUAUCUACUUUUAAAUCUUUGCCAACCCUGGCGAAGUGGGUAUUAUUAGCCUUAGUCCACAGAGAAACGAUAGAGUGAGUUCCCCACGGCUGCGGUGCCAGUGGCUCGUGUCACGGAGCUGGGGCUGAAUGACACUUCUGCCUGACUGCAGCCCCCGCCGGUCUCUCUGCCUCGGCUGUAUGUGGCCUGGACACUUUCUCUUAGAGCUCAGGGUGGCCUCCUCGCGUCGCACAGGACGCCUGACCAAGCAGGCCGAAGUCCAGUACAUGCUUUUGUCCAUACCCCGUGCACCCCGGGCUCUCUUCUGCUUCUGCCCAGAGGGAAGGGGACCUCCUCUGCACAGACUCUCUGCUCAGGAGCCUGCUCCCCCGGGGCCACAGCCGCCCCCCAGGGGCACCGUUUUGGUACCACGCAAAGAUGAGGAAGCGAGGCCCGGACUUUGGAGAAUCCGAAGCUGAGCAGCCUGGGUCCUCCAGGCUGAGCAGUCUCCUCUCAAAACUGAUGAAAGCAGAAUGGGUUUCACUUUGCCACAUGCCUUUCAAUCUUCCAAGGAAGGAUGGAAUAAAGGAGGUUGGCUGAUAAUCGAGCCUGGUGCCUGCUGACCUUGGGUGAGACUGUGGAGCCAUGGCACCUCCCCCACACUGCCAUCACUUCGGGAAACCAGCUGGAGCGCCUAUAUAUCAGGAGAUGCUCACAGUUAGUGGGCCAGCCAUUCUCCUCUUUGGCAAAUACGUGGAGAUACCCUUGUACGCACGCGGAGGGGAACGUGCAUACUAAUGCUCUUGACAGUAUUUUCGUAACGGAGGAAUUUGGACACAAGCCUUGAUGGUCAUCAACUUGAAACCAGACUGCUUCUCCAGACUUUGGCCCCAUGAAUAAAGUGCAGCUACAUGUAUCAACAUGAUUAAAUAUCAAAAAUACAAUUCCGAGUGAAGAAAAGUACGUCUCAGAGAUACAGAAAUCAGUUAUCCAGACCUAUCUGUUAGGUCACGAUCAGUUACCGAGCCCAAGUCCUCGCGUGAAACUCAGCCCAGCAAGAACUCAAAAUCAUUUUCAUUCACAUAAAGUCACUAACGGUGUCAAACCUCUCAUACUACCUUCAAAAGAAACACGUGGCCGGUGUUGAGAGCGGAAAUGUAACAGAAAGCUGAAUAAUGAGUUUGACUCUAUUUCUUCUGCUGGAGUUUCCUGCAAAGACGUCCAGGUAUCGUUGGAGACUUGCCCGGGGUCCGCAGAGCCGGCUGCACGCCGGCCUGUCAACAUCCCCCCUUGCAUUGUCACUGGCCCUAGACUUUGAGCUUCCUUUACAGCCUCUUCAUAAAGGACAGAACGUGUUGCUCUCUUGCUCCAAAUCCGUCAAUGGCUAUCCGUUGUCUGCUUAGUAUCGUGGGAUCUCAAAGUGGGAUGCCAAAUCCAGCUGUGGGAGGUUUUCCAGAGGAUGGGGCAUGUAAGCUUGAGUCUCAAGUAGAUAUUUAUAAGGUAGUCAGCGGGGACAGUGGGAGUGGGGGUGAAGCAUUUCCAGAAAGCGUCCUCUGCAAACCAUCACGUGCAAAAGCACGGAGAUAUCACGCAACAAAGCAUGAUAAAGCACUGCCAAGAAUUGUGGGGUGGCUGAAAUCCAAGGGUCUGGAGGUGACGGGGCGCUGGAUUCCCAAAGGGUCUUGUAUAAUAACCUAAGCUCAGAUUUCAAUGGGAUGCCCGAAGGUCGUUUCUUUCCUUUUAUGAUAUCACAUGUCAAGUACAAGUUUAAAAAACAAAACCAAAAUUAAGGUUUUGCUGUGCUUGGUUUUCUAGCCCUCUUUUCCACUCAACAUCACAUCAUGAGUAUCUUCACGCAUCCUCAACAAAUCCUUCACGAAUAUUUCUGUGCCUGUGUGAUGGUCAAACAGAUACAUCUAAGCAUGUUUCCCAUUUUCGAUUUUUGGAUAGUUCAGCUGUUCUCAUUUUUUAAUACUAAAAAUAAAGUGGUAAUAAACAC